CGGCGAGUGAACGGAGAUUAGCCCAUCACCGAAGUCCAUUCGCAUUUGUGAACAGGACAAUGUGGUGUUUAGGCGUGUACCUGGGGUCGCUGGCCUGCUCGAAGUCCGGCUUCGAUUACGGCUUGGAUCAUGCCCAGAGCGGGUGCAAGGCCCGUGCGGGUAGGCUCUGACUAGCAGCGAUUCUCAGAUGUGCAUGCCUACGAGUCGGAUUGCUUGAGAAUGCAGUCCAAAGUGGGUGGUAAACUCCAUCCAAGGCUAAAUACUGGCGCGAGUCCGAUAGUAGACAAGUACCGUGAGGGAAAGUUGAAAAGUACUCUGAAGAGA
rnacentral:rRNA from 1 species